CCAAAGAAAACUUUCCAGUAACAUGAAGGAAAGCGUCAAGGAUUAUUUGAAUAUGAAGGCCAAUAGAAAAAUGAUACAGCAAAAAGUUCAAGAAAGUAUUGGUAAAAUUGUUACUUUACAAGAUUUAACAAAUAUGAAGAUAUCCGAUCAAUCAAGAAAAGAAAACUUAGAUGGCUGCUUAAAUAUACUUAAAGCUAAAUACGGUGCCAAUGUAGCUGUUUUGCGAGACGAAGACAAUAAUUUCAGAGGACUUUUCAUUCAAAGUUCAACCAUGAAAAGUACAAUGAAGGCUUUUCCAGAAUUUCUUGCAGUAGAUGCUACAUAUAAAUUAUUUAAAUUAGGAUUACCUGUUUUUCUCAUAAAGGACGUCCAAAAGGACAGGACUUAACAGUCAUAGGACUACCAAAGAAAAAGAAAAGAUGUACUGUAGCAUUUGCUAAACAAUCCUAUCAUGAAAAAUAAAAUGUAAUCCUGAAUUGCUUCGUUAAGGAUCGUAACAUCGUUAGAGACAUCACAAAUGGGAAAUUUCUUGAAACUGUAGACCUUAAAAUGCUCCCCGAAGAAAUAUCACAUGCAAUUCUUGAUGAGGCUGUUGAUAUCCACAUGAUAAGAAGUUUUUGCACCGAGAAAGCCUUUGAAAAAAUAACCAAUCUAGUUGAGCAGAAACGACUUCAACAAAGUUGGUUUUGUUCUGUGUGCAGUGAAGACACGCAGAAAAAUAAUAUGUCACUUUGUUGCAGUAGAUGCCUUCUAUGGAGACAUAUCCGUUGUGCAGGAUUGACUAAGCGACGUAAAUCAAAACUGUGGUUUUGCAGAGAAUGCUAUCUGUAGCAUUUUAUUUUUAAGUUGACGUAGUAUUAUUUUUAAGUUGUCAGUUCAUAAUUUGCAAUAAAAACCUGAAAACCAAUGCCAUAUAUUACAUUUUAUCGCAAAUACAUUUUCAAACCUACAACGGCAACAUAUACGUCUACCUACAUAUACACCGUUCCAAGUUAAUUUUAUUCAGAAUAAGCCAUGACGGAUUUUGGACAACAUUACAUUACAAAUUAUUA